AUUGAACGCUGGCGGCAGGCCUAACACAUGCAAGUCGAACGAGUGGCGGACGUGUGAGUAAUGUCUGGGAAACUGCCUGCUGGAUGGGGAUAACUACUGGAAACGGUAGCUAUUACCGCAUACCAUCAGAUGUGCCCAUAUGGGCUUAGCGUGUUGGUGGGGUAACGGCUCACCAAGGCGACGAUCCCUAGCUGGUCUGCGAGGAUGACCAGCCACACUGGAACUGAGACACUGUCCAGACUCCUACGGGAGUCAGCAGUGGGGAAUAUUGCACAAUGGGCGCAAGCCGGAUGCAGCCAUGCCGCGUGUAUGAAGAAGGCCUUCGGGUUGUAAAGUACUUUCAGCGGGGAGGCGUUACCCGCAGAAGAAGCACCGGCUAACUCCGUGCCAGCAGCCGCGGUAAUAC
rnacentral:rRNA from 1 species